GAAAUGCGAUAAGUAAUGUGAAUUGCAGAAUUCCGUGAAUCAUCGAAUCUUUGAACGCACAUUGCGCCCUCUGGUAUUCCGGGGGCAUGCCUGUCCGAGCGUCAUUGCGAACCCCUCAAGCACGGCUUGUGUGAUGGGCCCUCCCGCGUCUUGGUCGUCAAGACGGGCCCGAAAUGCAGUGGCAGCUUCGCGGUUAUCCGAUCAGCCAGAGCGUAUGGGGACUCUCUCUCUUGUCACACGCCCGCGGCGCGGACCGACGCCUGUCGACCUUUAUUCAUCUUCUCUCGGUUGACCUCGGAUCAGGUAGGGAUACCCGCUGAACUUACGC
rnacentral:misc_RNA from 1 species